GGGGCUGUAGCUCAGCUGGUUAGAGCGCUUCUCUGAUAAGGAAGAGGUCCCAGGUUCGAGUCCUGGCAGCCCCACCA
rnacentral:tRNA from 1 species